UUAGAUUCAAGAAUGCGGGCUAGAAGAUUUGAGGCUGAUAUUGUUUAACUGUGAGAGUAGAGAUUCAAAUUAGACUUUUGUACUUUAAAUUUAUAUUUGCUUUUAGAAAUUUUAAGAUGCAAAUAAUAGCUCCUACUAAUUUUUUGGAUCCCUCUACUCCCUCGAUGAAAAAUAAAAAUCCUAACGCGACAACUAGAUUCUUAGUGGGUGCUAGGUCCC
rnacentral:lncRNA from 1 species